rnacentral:rRNA from 1 species
AGAGGUUUGUGACUGAGUGGCGGACGGGUGAGUAACGCGUGGGUAACCUGCCUCAUACAGGGGGAUAACAGUUAGAAAUGACUGCUAAUACCGCAUAAGACCACGGAGCCGCAUGGCUCCGUGGGAAAAACUCCGGUGGUAUGAGAUGGACCCGCGUCUGAUUAGGUAGUUGGUGGGGUAACGGCCUACCAAGCCAACGAUCAGUAGCCGACCUGAGAGGGUGACCGGCCACAUUGGGACUGAGACACGGCCCAAACUCCUACGGGAGGCAGCAGUGGGGAAUAUUGCACAAUGGGGGAAACCCUGAUGCAGCGACGCCGCGUGAGCGAAGAAGUAUUUCGGUAUGUAAAGCUCUAUCAGCAGGGAAGAAAAUGACGGUACCUGACUAAGAAGCACCGGCUAAAUACGUGCCAGCAGCCGCGGUAAUACGUAUGGUGCAAGCGUUAUCCGGAUUUACUGGGUGUAAAGGGAGCGUAGACGGCUGUGUAAGUCUGAAGUGAAAGCCCGGGGCUCAACCCCGGGACUGCUUUGGAAACUAUGCAGCUAGAGUGUCGGAGAGGUAAGUGGAAUUCCCAGUGUAGCGGUGAAAUGCGUAGAUAUUGGGAGGAACACCAGUGGCGAAGGCGGCUUACUGGACGAUGACUGACGUUGAGGCUCGAAAGCGUGGGG